rnacentral:rRNA from 1 species
GAUGAACGCUGGCGGCGUGCUUAACACAUGCAAGUCGAACGGAAAGGCCCUGCUUUUGUGGGGUGCUCGAGUGGCGAACGGGUGAGUAACACGUGAGUAACCUGCCCUUGACUUUGGGAUAACUUCAGGAAACUGGGGCUAAUACCGGAUAGGAGCUCCUGCUGCAUGGUGGGGGUUGGAAAGUUUCGGCGGUUGGGGAUGGACUCGCGGCUUAUCAGCUUGUUGGUGGGGUAGUGGCUUACCAAGGCUUUGACGGGUAGCCGGCCUGAGAGGGUGACCGGCCACAUUGGGACUGAGAUACGGCCCAGACUCCUACGGGAGGCAGCAGUGGGGAAUAUUGCACAAUGGGCGGAAGCCUGAUGCAGCGACGCCGCGUGCGGGAUGACGGCCUUCGGGUUGUAAACCGCUUUCGCCUGUGACGAAGCGUGAGUGGCGGUAAUGGGUAAAGAAGCACCGGCUAACUACGUG